rnacentral:rRNA from 1 species
GACAGAGGGUGCAAACGUUGUUCGGAAUUACUGGGCGUAAAGCGCGUGUAGACGGCUAAGUAAGUCGGGCUUGAAAUCCCACGGCUCAACCGUGGAAGUGCACUCGAAACUGCAUAGCUAGAGUCCUGGAGAGGAAGGUGGAAUGCUUGGUGUAGAGGUGAAAUUCGUAGAUAUCAAGCGGAACACCGGUGGCGAAGGCGGCCUUCUGGACAGUGACUGACGCUGAGACGCGAAAGCGUGGGGAGCAAACAGG